rnacentral:misc_RNA from 1 species
GUGAAUCAUCAAAUUUUUGAACGCAAAUUGCACUCUCUUCGGAGAGUAUGCCUGUUUGAGGGUCAGCCUAAAAAAAAUCGACAUAGUCGCUGUUUCUCGGUUACAUCCCUCGGAAAUUGGGUCAUCUUUAACCUUUGGGUUUUAAGCGUCUUAAAGUUUUCUUUCCUAUUCUACGACCGUUUCUC